CCUACGGGUGGCAGCAGUGAGGAAUAUUGGGCAAUGGACGAGAGUCUGAACCAGCCAAGUAGCGUGAAGGAUGACUGCCCUAUGGGUUGUAAACUUCGUUUAUAUGGGAAUAAAACGUUCCACGUGUGGGAUUUUGUAUGUACCAUAUGAAUAAGGAUCGGCUAACUACGUGCCAGCAGCCGCGGUAAUACGGAGGAUCCGAGCAUUAUCCGGAUUUAUUGGGUUUAAAGGGAGCGUAGGUGGAUUGUUAAGUCAGUUGUGAAAGUUUGCGGCUCAACCGUAAAAUUGCAGUUGAAACUGGCAGUCUUGAGUACAGUAGAGGUAGGCGGAAUUCGUGGUGUAGCGGUGAAAUGCUUAGAUAUCACGAAGAACUCCGAUUGCGAAGGCAGUUCACUGGACUGCAACUGACACUGAGGCUCGAAAGUGUGGGUAUCAAACAGGAUUAGAUACCCGUGUAGUC
rnacentral:rRNA from 1 species